rnacentral:rRNA from 1 species
GUGUCAGCAGCCGCGGUAAUACGUAGGGGGCGAGCGUUGUCCGGAAUUAUUGGGCGUAAAGGGUUCGCAGGCGGCCAUUUAAGUCAGAUGUGAAAGCCCACGGCUUAACCGUGGUAAGCAUUUGAAACUGAAAGGCUUGAGUUAAGGAGAGGAAAGUGGAAUUCCUAGUGUAGCGGUGAAAUGCGUAGAUAUUAGGAGGAAUACCAGUGGCGAAGGCGACUUUCUGGACUUAUACUGACGCUGAGGAACGAAAGCGCGGGGAGCAAACAGGAUUAGAUACCCUGGUAGUCCGCGCCGUAAACGAUGAGUGCUAGGUGUCGGGGGUCAAACCUCGGUGCCGGAGCUAACGCAUUAAGCACUCCGCCUGGGGAGUACGUUCGCAAGAAUGAA